ACCCUCUCAGGAUCACACCUGAAGACUUUCCAGUACACUACCCGUCUCGGCUAUGGGAGGGAGAGUCAAGCAGAGGUAUACCCAUUCCAUUCCUAGCUUGAGCAGCGGCUAGCGAAUGGAAGGCAAUCUGCUACAAGU